rnacentral:lncRNA from 1 species
GUGCCGUUGCCGGGGAGAAAGACGGUUUGCUGAGAUAACUUUGAGUCUUGCUAUUAUCUUGUAUUAUACUUUUAUACUUUUAUUCUUUUAUCUUUUUAUUUUUAUCUUUAUGGAUAACUCAAAUUCCAUACCUAUCAUUGAAUUCUUUGCACCUUCGGAGACCAGCCAUAGACCAUGGGAGUCAACACGUUCUGCCCCUAAUUAUGAUCUGUGUCCGGAGUUGAUUGCAAUAGGUCAAAACCAACCCUUUUCUAUAGCUGAGGUCCU